UAUAAUUCAGAUCAGACCGCAUGUUAUUGUGAUAAAUUGGUGUCAACUACUGAAUAUUCAAAUUUACUAUGUAGCACCCUGAAUUUUAUCUUUACAGGUAUGAUUUCAUUGCUAGAUGUGGCUUCAAAAUGGUUGCGAGAUUCACCUGAUAAUGAUUACGAUAUGAAGAGAAGAGUUGACUGAAGGAUACAAGAAACAAAUGUCUUAAACAACAUUCCACCACAAUGAAAAAUAUAUUUUAUAUUAUAUAAUGAUAAAAAAUGAAGUCAUCGCUCUGUGACGCCAUCUACUGUGAACCCAUCUGCUGAAGCCAAGAUGUUUGUCAGAUUUAUUUUAACGUAAUCAAAGUAUUAGAAACGUGUCAAUAAUGUCAAAAUAUAAAGACAAUAUCUUUAAUACAGUAAUUCAAAUACAUAAUUGAUUGAUGAAUUAGAUAGGCCUAUGGUAUAUUUAUUAAUAAAUUUAUGCUGUAUGCCGGCAAAGAAUGGUAAAUAGACGAGAAGCCUGGAGGAAUUAGAUAGGCCUAUGGUAUAUGUAUUAAUAAAUUUAUGCUGUAUGCUGGCAAAGAAUGGUACAGAGACGAGAAGACUGGAGGUAAGUGGGUUGGUUAUUUACUCAAAGAUCUUGUAACAAAAUAGCGCUCUCACCUAUUUCUAAGCGUAAUGCAUUAAAGACUCGUAAAACUGCACCUUCUGCAAAAAAUAAGACAAAGCAAAACUUAUUUACUGUACUGAAUUUUAUAUAUGGCGCUCCCUCCAAAAAUGUAUUAGUACUCGUAAUGCACAGAAAAUUUUCAUGAACUUAGAAAAAAAAUUACAAAGCCAAAUUUGUUUUACUGAAUUUUAUACAGUGCUCCCUCCAAAGUAAAAUGCGAAGCCAAAUUUUAUAUAGAGCUCAUUACAAAAGCCUUAUUUGCACACUGCACUAAAAACUUUCAACAAUCUGGGAAAAAAAUGGUGUAACUAAGCCCUUCUUUAACUGCCGACUGAAACUGCCCUGUGCAAAGAAUAGUAUGCAAGCCAAUUUUGUUUACUAAAUUAAGAUAUGGUUCCUCCAAUAAUCUGUUAAGUGCACUGAAAAUUUCAUAACUGGCAGAAAAUUGUUUACUCUGUUUUAUCUAGCACUCCUCCAAAACUUAUUUGCAUGCAUAAUGACCUGCGCGUUGCAAAAAUACUGUUGCGAGUUGCAAGAUCUUUGAGCUACACUGCAUUAGGUGCCCCCUAAAUUAAAUGAGGGCGCUGUUGACGUAAAGUGCGCCCUCUAUGGAGGUAGAGGACACUUUGAUGCAAGCAGUCCCUCGUUUGAUUUAGGGGGCGCUAUUUAAUGCAGUAACCCUCUGAAAAAGAUAGGGAUGUUAUAUAAACGAUGAUACAAGGAACAAAUAAAGACGAGAGAAUUUGAA